rnacentral:rRNA from 1 species
UACGGAGGGGCUAGCGUUGUUCGGAAUUACUGGGCGUAAAGCGCACGUAGGCGGCUUUGUAAGUUAGAGGUGAAAGCCUGGAGCUCAACUCCAGAAUUGCCUUUAAGACUGCAUCGCUUGAAUCCAGGAGAGGUGAGUGGAAUUCCGAGUGUAGAGGUGAAAUUCGUAGAUAUUCGCAAGAACACCAGUGGCGAAGGCGGCUCACUGGCCCAUUACUGACGGCUGAGGCACGAAAGCGUGGGAGCGAACAGG